UCUUUAGUACAAGUAUACCAUGCAACAUUUGGGACAUACUUACACUAAAA
rnacentral:miRNA from 1 species